AGCGAACGCUGGCGGCAGGCCUAACACAUGCAAGUCGAACGGAUCCUUCGGGAUUAGUGGCGGACGGGUGAGUAACACGUGGGAACGUGCCCUUUGGUUCGGAACAACUCAGGGAAACUUGAGCUAAUACCGGAUGUGCCCUUCGGGGGAAAGAUUUAUCGCCAUUGGAGCGGCCCGCGUCUGAUCAGCUAGUUGGUGAGGUAAAGGCUCACCAAGGCCACGAUCAGUAGCUGGUCUGAGAGGAUGAUCAGCCACAUUGGGACUGACACACGGCCCAAACUGCUACGGGAGGCAGCAGUGGGGAAUCUUGCGCAAUGGGCGAAAGCCUGACGCCGCCAGGCCGCGUGAAUGAUGACGGUCUUAGGAUUGUAAAAUUCUUUCACCGGGGACGAUAAUGACGGUACCCGGAGAAGAAGCCCCGGCUAACUUCGUGCCAGCAGCCGCCGUAA
rnacentral:rRNA from 1 species